UUCCAUUGCACAUAACGGA
rnacentral:snRNA from 1 species